GACGAACGCUGGCGGCGUGCUUAACACAUGCAAGUCGAACGGUGAAGCGCCUUCCUUUUUGGUGGGUGUGGAUGAGUGGCGAACGGGUGAGUAACACGUGAGUAACCUGCCCCCUUCUUCUGGAUAACCGCAUGAAAGUGUGGCUAAUACGGGAUAUUCUGGGUCUGUCGCAUGAUGGGUCUGGGAAAGAUAUUGUUUCGGUGGGGGAUGGGCUCGCGGCCUAUCAGCUUGUUGGUGGGGUGAUGGCGUACCAAGGCGGUGACGGGUAGCCGGCCUGAGAGGGUGGGCGGGCAGACGGGGAGGGAGACCAGGCCCAGAGGGACACGGGAGGGAGCAGUGGGGAAUAGUGAGGAAGGGGUGGGAGCUUGAGGGAGAGGGGCGGCGUGAGGGAGGGGGGACGGCGGGUUGAGGAUCUCUUUCGCAGGUGAAGCAGGCCUUCUUCGUUGGUGGGUGGGUUGACGGUAGCUGGAUAAGAAGCGCGGGUAAAUUAGGG
rnacentral:rRNA from 1 species